GUGGGGAAUAUUGGACAAUGGGGGGAACCCUGAUCCAGCCAUGCCGCGUGUGUGAAGAAGGCCUUUUGGUUGUAAAGCACUUUAAGCGAGGAGGAGGCUACCGAGAUUAAUACUCUUGGAUAGUGGACGUUACUCGCAGAAUAAGCACCGGCUAACUCUGUGCCAGCAGCCGCGGUAAUACAGAGGGUGCAAGCGUUAAUCGGAUUUACUGGGCGUAAAGCGCGCGUAGGUGGCCAAUUAAGUCAAAUGUGAAAUCCCCAAGCUUAACUUAGGAAGUGAAUUAGAUACUGGUUGGGUAGAGUAUGGGAGAGGAUGGUAGAAGUCCAGGUGUAGCGGUGAAAUGCGUAGAGAUCUGGAGGAAUACCGAUGGCGAAGGCAGGUAACUGUACCUAUAUCGACGCUGAUGCACGAAAGCAUGGGUAGCGAACAGGAUUAGAUACCCCUGUAGUCC
rnacentral:rRNA from 1 species